UACGUAGGGGGCAAGCGUUGUCCGGAUUUAUUGGGCGUAAAGAGCGUGUAGGCGGCUUGGUAGGUCCGCUGUGAAAACUCGAGGCUCAACCUCGAGAUGUCGGCGGAAACCACUUGGCUAGAGUCCGGAAGAGGAGAGUGGAAUUCCUGGUGUAGCGGUGAAAUGCGCAGAUAUCAGGAAGAACACCCGUGGCGAAGGCGGCAUCCUGGACCGGUAUUGACGCUGAGGAGCGAAAGCCAGGGGAGCAAACGGG
rnacentral:rRNA from 1 species